rnacentral:misc_RNA from 1 species
GAUGAAGAACGUAGUGAAAUGCGAUAAGUAAUGUGAAUUGCAGAAUUCAGUGAAUCAUCGAAUCUUUGAACGCACAUUGCGCCCUCUGGUAUUCCGGAGGGCAUGCCUGUUCGAGCGUCAUUUCAACCCUCAAGCAUUGCUUGGUGUUGGGGCACCGCCUGUAAAAGGGCGGGCCCUGAAAUCUAGUGGCGAGCUCGCCAGGACCCCGAGCGUAGUAAUUAUAUUUCGUUCUGGAAGGCCCUGGCGGUGCCCUGCCGUUAAACCCCCAACUUCUGAAAAUUUGACCUCGGAUCAGGUAGGAAUACCCGCUGAACUUAAGCAUAUCAAUAAGCGGAGGA